UACGUAGGGCGCAAGCGUUGUCCGGAAUUAUUGGGCGUAAAGAGCUCGUAGGCGGCCUGUUACGUCUGCUGUGAAAUCCCGGGGCUUAGCCCCGGGCGUGCAGUGGAUACGGGCAGGCUGGAGGCAGGCAGGGGAGAACGGAAUUCCCGGUGUAGCGGUGAAAUGCGCAGAUAUCAGGAGGAACACCGAUGGCGAAGGCAGGUCUCUGGGCCACUACUGACGCUGAGAAGCGAAAGCAUGGGGAGCGAACAGG
rnacentral:rRNA from 1 species